UUAAACAUUGGUUCCCGUACGAUCACCGAAGUUAAGCAAUGUCGAUCCUGUUCAGUACCUAGAUGGGUGACCGCUUAGGAAUACUA